rnacentral:sRNA from 1 species
ACUGGCAGAGCCACAACGUGAAGCAGAGCGGCGUGGAUGACAUGGUGCUUCUUCCCCAGAUCACCGAAGACGCCAUCGCCGCCAACCUCCGGAAGCGCUUCAUGGACGACUACAUCUUCACCUACAUCGGCUCCGUGCUCAUCUCUGUAAACCCCUUCAAGCAGAUGCCCUACUUCACCGACCGUGAGAUCGACCUCUAUCAGGGCGCGGUGAGGCUGGGGCUGGGUGGGAGGCACAGCCCCAAGACUCCUGGCCCCCAGCCCUGGGCUGAGACCUGACCUCCCCCGCCAGGCCCAGUAUGAGAAUCCCCCGCACAUCUACGCCCUCACGGACAACAUGUACCGGAACAUGCUUAUCGACUGUGAGAACCAGUGUGUCAUCAUUAGUGGAGAGAGUGGAGCUGGGAAGACAGUGGCAGCCAAAUAUAUCAUGGGCUACAUCUCCAAGGUGUCUGGCGGAGGCGAGAAGGUCCAGCACGUCA